CACACGACUCUCAGCAACGGAUAUCUCGGCUCUCGCAUAGAUGAAGAACAUAGCAAAAUGCGAUACCUAGUGUGAAUUGCAGAAUCCCGUGAACCAUCGAGUUUUUGAAUGCAAGUUGUGCCCGAGGCCUUCUGGCUGAGGGCAUGCCUGCCUGGCCAUCACGC
rnacentral:rRNA from 1 species